UACGAAGGGGGCUAGCGUUGCUCGGAAUGACUGGGCGUAAAGGGCGCGUAGGCGGCUUGCACAGUCGGAUGUGAAAUUCCUGGGCUUAACCUGGGGGGCUGCAUCCGAUACGUGUGGGCUGGAGUGGGGAAGAGGGUCGUGGAAUUCCCAGUGUAGAGGUGAAAUUCGUAGAUAUUGGGAAGAACACCGGUGGCGAAGGCGGCGACCUGGUCCUUUACUGACGCUGAGGCGCGAAAGCGUGGGGAGCAAACAGG
rnacentral:rRNA from 1 species